UGGAGGCUAUGCAGCGUCCAAAAAGUGGAAGAAACCAAAUGCCUAUUCAAAAUCAUCCCGAUUUGGGCUUCCGGGAUUAUCUGUUUUACCGCCAUUGUACAACAGAGCACAUUCAUCUUGUCUCAAGCCUUGACAAUGGACCGCCACCUGGGUCCCAACUUUCAGAUCCCGGGCGGGUCGCUCGGGGUCAUCUCGAUGAUCACGGUGGCGCUAUGGAUCCCCGUGUACGACCGGGUGGUGGUGCCGUCCGUGAGGAAGGUCACCAAGGUGGAAGGUGGCAUCACCUUGCUCCAGAGGAUGGGGAUCGGGCUGGUGUUCUCCAUCCUCUCGAUGGUAGUGUCCGGCCUGGUCGAGCGGAUGAGAAGGGCCUCUGCCCUAGCUCACGCUGGACCAGGCGGGACCACUACCCUAACGGUCUUCUGGCUGGCCCCGCAGCUGAUGCUGAUGGGGUUCGCCGAGGCAUUCAAUAUCAUUGGACAGAUUGAGUUUUAUAAUAAAGAAUUCCCGGAAAAUAUGACUAGUUUGGCAAACUCGUUGUUCUCGUGCACAAUGGCGGGGGCGAGCUAUAUAAGUGCGGCGUUGGUGAACAUCGUGCACCACACAACUGCCACGCGCGCCCAUCCCGAUUGGUUGACCAAAGAUAUUAACCAGGGAAGGCUCGAGAACUUGUAUUUCUUGAUCGCCGGCUUGGGCGUCUUGAAUUUCGGAUACUUUAUUUGGGCGGCGCGUGGGUAUCAGUACAAGACCAAGAUCAGAAUUGAUGAUGAGCAUGUUGAGCUUGUUGACGGCUUUGUCUAUCCUAGGCGGGGUGCUCCCUACGCAGGGCCCUUAAGAUGAUGACACUUGGGCACCCCUUUUUACCCAAAAUCCUGAAAUAUCAAAUUGACCCCUCAUAAUAAAUUAUAAACACAAAAAACCCCAAACAAGUUUAAAUCUGGACAGAAUAAUCCUUUUUCAUUUCCAUAAUUGUAAAAUCAUGCAAUUAUCACAAUAUGGCCCAACAUGCUUCCGUAACACUUCAAAAUAAAUCUUAAAUUUAAACCAACAUUAUACCUUUGUCGACUGGUCUUCUUCAGGAGUCAGUCCGUUGCGUUUUACGGCUUCGUCUGCCCACCAGGCACGUUCCAACCACGCACUCGCAAGAGAUGGAUGCAACCUUUCUCCUUCACUAAGUGUCGACUCAAUACUUUGUUGGAAAAAUAAAGAAAAUAUUUUUACUCAACCGGAAUAGUUGGAUGAAUACUAAGCUUAUAUAGAGGAAUUAUAUAAUAAUUAAUUUAUUUCAUAAAAUCUUCCUCAGGGAGGAGACUAACUUGUUUAGCUACUCAUUAGUAGCUAAUACUUGUGUACAUAAAAUUAAAAGAAACAAAACUAGAAUAAAAAAGAAAUUAAAAUUACAAAAUAAUUUUUCUAGAGAGAGAAUUUGGUGUGUGAAGGAGUUGUGAAGUUUUCGAUGAUCUCUCUCUUCCAGAGCUUGGGUUUAUAUAGAGGUUUGAUCCCCUCUAUAAUUGCUUGGUAGUUGGCCUCGGAUUCUUUCUUUGUGGCCAGCUCACUUGAAUGUGACAUCCACCUUAUUUUGUCGGCCUUGAUUGCCGACAUUUGUUAGUGUCAUCACAUGGUGCUGGACCCUUACUUUAUCGUUUUGUGAUAAUGCUGGUAGGGGGCGGCUGCUUUUUUCUUCCACUCACGUUUGUCCUGGAGCUUUUGGUGAGUGGUCCUCCUGUCAUUCCACCCAUUCUUCAUUUUCUUUGUGGGUGCGAUCCUUGCUGUGAAUCACAUGAUUCACUUUGUUUUGUCGGCCAACUUACUUUUUUGGUGCCCGAGGUGCUCUUCCUNCAUAAAAAGUUAUUAUAAUGAGCGAGAGUAGAUCACUCAGCAAAAUUGAGUCACAAAUAUAUAGGGAAGUAUAGGUAGCAUCUGGAAAAGCAUAAUGAUUUCAAAAUUCCCAAAUCUUAAGCUUUGUUGGAUUCAUAUUCAUCAUAUAUAUGUUGCAAGCAUUGCACCAAAUCUUUAGAUUAUUGUGAAUAUUCUUUGCAACUCUAAAAGAUCAUCAUGGGCAUAAUAUGCAAUGACUACUUUAAUGUAAAAAAGAAGUGAAACCUACAUUACUAAAUACAGAAGCACAAAUAAGUUCAUAUACUAAUCAAUGAAUUUGACAUUACAAAUCUUAAACUGCAGACACAACAAUCCAAUUUUCAGUUCGCAUAGAGAAGAAGAAUUUCAGUUAUGAAUCGGACAUACAAAUAAUCGCCUACAACAGAGGAUGGAGCUAGGGAUGAUCGUGGACGGAUCUUCAGAAUGCAGCGAGAGACGUCGGUGAGGAAGAUGUUGCGCGGCCCAGACCUAUUUCUUUCGAAAAUGGGCCAGGUUCCAAUCUUUUGUAGCCAUACUAGCCAAGAUUUAUUCAAAAGAAGAUUACACUUUAAGAGGAAUAAUGAGGUUGCAAUCAUUCAACAAUAUGUAUCAGUAAAGUUCAGCAUUAUGAUUGCAUCACCAUAUCUAUUUUCCUUUUCCCUUUAUCAUAUGCUUAAAUAACAAUUCAACAACUUCUCAUCUAAGAAUGUCUAUAAUUCACGCAAUGACCACUAUUUUUCGGACUUGCAAAAAUAGGUCAAUUAUUUUAGUUUUUGACAUUUUUAGGCCACAUUUGAGCUCAAUUCAGCAUUUAUAGGCCAUUUUUUGGGGUUGGGGUGGAUGGAUCCAACUCCAACCCGUGGAGGCUAUGCAGCGUCCAAAAAGUGGAAGAAACCAAAUGCCUAUUCAAAAUCAUCCCGAUUUGGGCUUCCGGGAUUAUCUGUUUUACCGCCAUUGUACAACAGAGCACAUUCAUCUUGUCUCAAGCCUUGACAAUAGACCGCCACCUCGAUCCCAACUUUCAGAUCCCGAGCGGGUCGCUCGGGGUCAUCUCGAUGAUCACGGUGGCGCUAUGGAUCCCCGUG
rnacentral:lncRNA from 1 species